UACAGAGGUCCCAAGCGUUGUUCGGAUUCACUGGGCGUAAAGGGUGCGUAGGCGGUCGGGUAAGUCUGAUGUGAAAUCUCACAGCUUAACUGUGAAACUGCAUUGGAUACUAUCCGGCUCGAGGAAUGGAGGGGAGACUGGAAUACUUGGUGUAGCAAGUGAAAUGCGUAGAUAUCAAGUGGAACACCAGUGGCGAAGGCGAGUCUCUGGACAUUUCCUGACGCUGAGGCACGAAAGCCAGGGGAGCAAACGGG
rnacentral:rRNA from 1 species